rnacentral:lncRNA from 1 species
AAAAGAGUUAAGUUUAACCGUGGUAGUGAAUACUAUGGUAAAUUUAACAAUUCAGGUGAACAACGUCCAAUAAUUUUUAUUUUUAUUUUUCAAUUAAAACUGCAGCAUAUGCCUUUAAUAUCCGGUUAAAGCAAGACCUUAUAAUACAAAUGAGAAGAAGGUACAUGUUUUAUGAUCCCACAAUUAAAUUUCAUUUUUCUAUCAGGAGUUCUUUGAGGAUGUCGAAUUUGCAGGGGGAGAUAUGGUUAUGGAGGAAUAUAUUGAUAUUUCCACAGGUGUUUAACUCUCCAUACAAGAAAUUGUUCCAUAUGAACAAACUUUUACACCUCAAGAAN